UCCCUUAAAUCCUCAACCAUCACUUUUCAGAUUCUCUCUCUCUCUCUCUCUCUCUCGGACUCUCUCCCCGAUCGAACCCGCACACACCCACGCACACCCAAAGUGGCACCCCGGCAACACCACCACCACCCUCACGCUCGCGAGGAUCUCCCCUCCCUCUUCCCCGUCUCAGUGAAGCUCGGUGAAGCCCAGAAACCCAGGAGAUCUCCGGCGAAACCCCGUGACUCUCCAGCGAAAAUCCGGCCACUUCCCGGCCACCACUCGUCGUGAAACAGUUGUGAGUAUUUCUGAGUCUCAACGGGUCAAGCUUCCAAAUUUCCAAGGAACAAGUCUUUGACCGUUGAUCUUCCCUUCGUUGAGUCUGUAUUUGUUGAUCACAAGCAAAGUUAGAUUUGAACUUCCAUUUCUGCACCUCAAUAUUGCUCAAAAGCGGUUCGGUCUUUCGUUGAUUGCUCGGAGUAAUCCUCGCUCUUAACAUGGCACUCGGAGAGGUUUUUCUUGCGGCGUUUCUACAGUUGCUGCUCGACAGGUUGACCCCUCGCGAGAUUCUUGAGUACUUGGGCAAUUUCCGGGGCGUCGGACAGAAGCUGGAGAAGUGGAGGACCA